rnacentral:rRNA from 1 species
GACGAACGCUGGCGGCGUGCUUAACACAUGCAAGUCGAACGGAAAGGCCCUGCUUUUGUGGGGUGCUCGAGUGGCGAACGGGUGAGUAACACGUGAGUAACCUGCCCUUGACUUUGGGAUAACUUCAGGAAACUGGGGCUAAUACCGGAUAGGAGCUCCUGCUGCAUGGUGGGGGUUGGAAAGUUUCGGCGGUUGGGGAUGGACUCGCGGCUUAUCAGCUUGUUGGUGGGGUAGUGGCUUACCAAGGCUUUGACGGGUAGCCGGCCUGAGAGGGUGAUCGGCCACAUUGGGACUGAGAUACGGCCCAGACUCCUACGGGAGGCAGCAGUGGGGAAUAUUGCACAAUGGGCGGAAGCCUGAUGCAGCAACGCCGCGUUCGGGAUGACGGCCUUCGGGUUGUAAACCGCUUUCGCCUGUGACGAAGCGUGAGUGACGGUAAUGGGUAAAGAAGCACCGGCUAACUACGUG